rnacentral:rRNA from 1 species
GACAGAGGUGCCGAGCGUUAGGCGGAAUCACUGGGCGUAAAGCGCGUGUAGGCGGAUCGGCAAGUCUGCUGUGAAAGCUCCUGGCUUAACCGGGAGUGGUCGGUGGAAACUGCCAGUCUGGAGGACGGUAGAGGUAGGUAGAAUUCCCGGUGUAGUGGUGAAAUGCGUAGAGAUCGGGAGGAAUACCUGUGGCGAAGGCGGCCUACUGGGCCGGACCUGACGCUGAGACGCGAAGGCGUAGGGAGCGAACGGG